UCUCCGUAGGUGAACCUGCGGAAGGAUCAUUAUCGAAAUACUUAUUUAGCGUUCCGUGCUAUCCCAUUGUUUUAUUUACCCUGUUGCUUCCACUGGAUGAGUUUCCAUACCUUGUGUUUGAGAAACUUUGGCUUGUGUAAGAUUCAUUCACGGCCAGCCAGUGAGAAGACCAUUUACAAAACCCUGUUAAGAACCAAUUGUCUGAAUAUUUUACUCCAAUGAAAUAAAACUUUCAACAACGGAUCUCUAGGCUCUUGCAUCGAUGAAAAACGCAGC
rnacentral:misc_RNA from 1 species